rnacentral:rRNA from 1 species
AGAGUUUGAUCAUGGCUCAGGAUGAACGCUAGCUACAGGCUUAACACAUGCAAGUCGAGGGGUAGCAGGGUAGCAAUACCGCUGACGACCGGCGCACGGGUGAGUAACACGUAUCCAACCUUCCCAUACUCAGGGAUAGCCUUUCGAAAGAAGAUUAAUACCUGAUAGUACUUUUUCAAGGCAUCUUGAGAAAGUUAAAGAUUUAUUGGUUAUGGAUGGGGAUGCGGUUCCAUUAGAUAGUUGGUGAGGUAACGGCUCACCAAGUCUUCGAUGGAUAGGGGUUCUGAGAGGAAGGUCCCCCACAUUGGUACUGAGACACGGACCAAACUCCUACGGGAGGCAGCAGUGAGGAAUAUUGGUCAAUGGGCGAGAGCCUGAACCAGCCAAGUAGCGUGAAGGAAUGAAGGUCCUAUGGAUUGUAAACUUCUUUUAUAGUAGAAUAAAGUGAUCCACGUGUGGAUUUUGUAUGUAUACUAUGAAUAAGGAUCGGCUAACUCCGUGCCAGCCGCCGC